CUUACUCAUGUUCUUUAACUAUAUCCUCUAGAAACUCGACUGGAUUCAGCCACUAAAAAGAUAAUUUAAGGUGAAAAGUUAUUGAUAUAUGUAUGCAUAUAUAUAUAAAGACUAAUCAAAAUAUUGAAAUAGUUAUUACCUCCCACCAGAAUCCACCUCCCGCUGGCUCCCAAGCUGAGAAACCACCAUUUUUGCUCUGCAAUCAUUUGUAUCAUAGAAUAUACUUAAGACCAAGAUAUUCAUCAUAUAAGGACAAAUUAAAAUAAUUUGACAUUGGUAUGAAUUAAUUAUUGGUAUUCAGAGAAGGCUUCACCUCAGAAAAUGGUAAACUUACCAUAGAGAUUCUUUAAAUUUUAUCAAAUCAUAAUAAUUUAUUAUUUAAUUCUAAAAUUAUACCUUCCCCUACAAAAAUUAUUAUUCAUUUUUUUAGUUCCGCUAAAGUCCCUAUUGGUAUUACAAUCUAUACCUGUAAAGAUAGAAGAACAUUGACAGCAUCAUAGACACACUCUCUUUCCAUUUUCUCACCAACCAUUUCAGGUGCCAUCAUUGAAAAAUAUAGGCAACACUGCAAAAACAUUUAACUGUUUUUUAAGCAAUAAUUUCCAAUUGCAAAUUUGUUUCAAAUUCAAAAUGCAUUGUGUUUAAUUGUAACUAAAACAAAAUUACCUUUAAACUUUCUGCAGUACAAUCAGAAAGUUGCCAUCCAUGAUCACGAUUAGAGAACGUCCAUGAUCCUUUAGAAAUGUGUCUAAAUAUUUUUUUAAAGUCUCCCGGAGGAUUAUCCCUAACCUUAAAAUUUUCAACCAAACCUUUCAACCAUCAACUCUAAGCAGAAGAUUGGAGAAAGUAAAAUAGAAGUAAUUAAGAAACCAAAACAUUAAACCUGCGAGUUCUUUAAGAAAUUGUGCCCCUUCAUCAAUGUAGGUCCAAUUUCAUUAGAUAAAUUGCUAGCAAGCAAAGCUUGGAGAAUAAAACUAGCAUCCCAAACUUGACUACCAAAGCUCUGCAUGGUGAAAUAUUGAAAAUAUACGGUAAAAAUAUCUCUAUGGUUUCUCUUAAUUUUGAUAUUAAACAAAUUGAUCCUUUUUAAAAAAAAAUCAAAGCAAAUUAAGUUUGAUCAAUUUCGAAAAUGAGCAAGUAAGGAUAAUUAAUCAUAACGUUAAUAGUUUUCGUCAAUUAUACAUAUAUUUUACUGGUAUAAUAACAAAUUUAUCCCGCAACAUUUACACAUUUUAACGACAUUUUAUGUAAAAUAUAUAAACUUUGAGGACUAAAUUUAUUAUCAUACUGAUCAAAAUUAUAUGCAAUUGACACGAAACAUUAAUGCCAUGAUUAAUUGUCCUUAGUUGCUCACUUUCAAAAAUUGCUCAAUUUUAAGGGUUAAAUUGUUAUUAUACGAACAAAAAUAUGUACAAUUGUCAAAAAUGUUAUUCUCAAAAUUGAUAAAGUUUAAUUAAUUCAACAUUUAUAGUGUUUUUAUAAUUAGCAAACCUGCAUCUUUAUUCCAUCUUCUCCAACCCAAACAUAGUCAUCAACCCUAGAAAGAUGCUUCUUAAAGUGAAUUCCAUUUGGAUCUUCAACCCAACAAGCUAGCAUACAUAAAGGCUGCCCAAUGUAUUAUCAAAUUUUAAUUAGUUAAAUUAUUAGCAAGCACUAUAUAUAUAAUAUUCAAAAUCAAUUCUAAUUGAAUUGGGUUACCUUUUCCACACAUCCAAUAGUAAUAUAUUGACUGCUUUCAUCUUCAUAAUGAAUGAGAUCCAUUGUUACUUUAAGAGCUUUUUCUCGUAACUUAUUAAAGGGCCAACAAUUAAGGAGAGGCUCUGAAACUAUGUAAAGACUAUCCCAGAGCAAUAUUUGAAGCCGUGUAUGAGGGUAAUAAAGAUCUUCCUGCAUGCCAUGUAUAAAACAUUUUUUCAUUUACAUUUUAACUAUAAAUAUUGUGGCAUAAAUUAUGAUUAUAGAUUUUACCUUUGCACAUAAAUGCCGCUUUGUACUCCAAUCGAUUUCAUUAUAUGGUUCAAUGUGGAGUUCUUCUCUUAAUUGUGAAAUUAGAGGUGUGAUUGGACCCACAAAUUUUCUUCCGUACAAAUACGACAUUGGCAUGUACGUUAAUCGACAGUAACAAAACAUCUUUGCUGCAUUAGAAUAUCAUCAUCGUUAAUAUAUACAAUUAACUUUGCAUAUCUUAUGUUGUACUCCGAUUUAAUAUUUAAAUAAUAAAAUUCAAAAUGAUUCAAUAUUAAAAUAAUCCGAAUUCUAAAAUUUUAAUACUCGAAAUAAUACAUAUUUUGAAUUAACCACAAACAAAUAAAUAUUGCAAACCUGGAUGAAUGGGAAAAUAAGAAGGAAAGAGCCAAAAUUCUGGAGGCAUUGGUUGGCAACCUGACCAUUCAUAAACACCGAGUAUCUACAACCAAAUUAAAUAGAAAUAUAUAUUUAAUAUAAAAAGAAUUAAGUUUGAUGGUAAAUAUUGUUGUAAAAAAAGGAUGACAUACUGAAAGCCAAGUCUUCCCCCAAGAAGAAAUGGUAGUGACACCCCCACGAUCAAGAAUCCAUUUUCGGCCUCUCUCACAAGCAUUAUUGAGGCCACCAUCAGGUCCUACUCCCAAUAAACGCAUACAAAUGUAGUUGAGAGCUGUGCAAAACAUUGUGCUGUGACCCCCUAUAUAUAAUCCCCAUCCUCCAUCCUCAUUCUGCCAUGCAAAUCCAAGUUUUAAUAUUUAUUAAUACUAGUCCACUAUUUAAUGCAUGUACACCUAAUCAUAUGUCAUAUAUACUCAAAUGAAGAACAGAGAUACCGUUCGUUUAUUUAGGAAAAAAAAUCAAAUUUAUAACCUGAUGGCAGUAAAUAUAACGGAGAAUUUCUUUGCGAUAUUCUGAUGAGAAUUUGGUAUUGAGAUGCCCUGUGAUAUAUAAAGACAUGACCUGCAAAUAUUAGGAUAAGAUUUGCAUAAAAAUUUGUGAUCUUCUGCAAGGGAAAUUAGAAGAAAUAUAUAUAGAUAUAUAAUAUGAAUAAAUGGAAAGGAAUAAGAGGAAUGACCAAAGGAGCAGAAAAAAACAUAGGGCCAGAAUUCUCAGCUGGCCAGUGGCCAUGUAUUGAUUGUAGAGCUGAAAAUAAGUGCACACUUCUGUUCACUGCUGCUGUUGUAGCUUCAUGUGUCACUUCUUCACCAUCCUCUAUUUUCGGUUGGGGAAUGGUUUGUUUCAUCUUUUUCUCUUUUAGAAACUGCAUACAACAAACAUAAUUUAGCUAUAACGAGUCUUUCUAGGUAUUUUUCAUCCAAGUUUUAGUAUGUGAAUUGAUUGAGAAAAUAAAAAGAAAGAUACAUUUUACCAUUAUAUAUAUAAUUGUAUCGCCUCAAACAUAUUUAAUUUAAUUAUUAUUUGUUUAAGUGGUUAAGUGAUUUGUGUGUGUUUGAGGUUAUAGGCUUUUGACUUAAAGUUUAAUUCCCACGCAAGUUUUGACAAUGAUGAGUUUGUUAAUUUAGAGGUAAGGUGUUAGCUUGCCUUUUCAUAUUUUGUGUCGUUCGCAUGGUAAGGUUCGAAGUAAAUUUGAAUUCUGAGGGAAUUUGAGUAGUUAUUAGAAAAGGGAUUAUAUUGUUCUUUUAUUAAUUUCUUAAAAAUACUAUUCCAACAAAAGAAAUUUUAUUAUAAAGAGUUCGAAUAGAUAUUUUAAAAAAAAAUUAUGAUCAAUAUUUUCAAUGUUAUUUUUCUCGGUACAUGAUUAUCGAGUGAAUUUUCUUUUCAAUUUCAAAAUAUCACACUAAAGAAUUUAGUAGAAAAACUUUAACAAUGGUUACAAUUGAACCUCAAAUUUAAAUCCAAAAAGUAAAGGACUCCUAAAAAUGAAAACAAAGACUAAAUUUUAAAUAUAAAAAAUGUAUAAAGACUUAAAACAUAUUUUAACCUUCAAACUUUUACUUUAUAAUUUGUGACAAAUAAAAAAUCAAUCAACUUAAAAUUUGUAGCUGAGAAUGGCAAUGUUGAUUAUUAAUUUUAAACUAAAUUAUAAUACAAAAAGUUAGAAUAAAUUAAUAUCAUAUAACAUCCAUUUCAAGAUAAUUUAUUUAGUAAUUGCUAAAUUCCAGUAAUUUAGUAAUUUACAUGUUUAGGUAUAUUUUAAUUGUGUUGAUAAUUCUCACAGGAAGUCUAGAUGUUCCUCUAUUUGUUUAUUUUUGUUUCUACACAUUUAAUUUUGAUUUGAUCCCAUUUGAUGAUUAUUUUUGCUUUUCAAGGAAAACUUUUCAUGCAUUUAAUUCAUUUAGCAAUAAUUUUCUAGAACUUUUCCAAGGCUUUGGUAUUAUUCACCAUUUUUAGACUUUGAUGUUUGAUGUUCCAUUUUUAUUCUCAAUAAAUUAUAUAUGUAAUUUAUCUCAUCAUUUGAUUUACGAAUAAUCAUAAAAUUGUAACAUUCUUUUUAUAAAAUAACCUUAUUAUUAAAAAGUCAAAAUGAUCAACGCAUUAUAAUCCAGUAAUAUGCAUUAGAAAGAAAUCCAUCGAACUUGAAUGCAUACAAGUUUAAUAAUUGGGUUUGAGUUCAAAUUUAAGUACAAAAUUUGAUAAACAAGAUUAAUAGAGCUUAAACUCAAGAUUGAAUAGUUCAAUUAUAUUUGGAGUCGAGCUCGAGUUUUAAAAAUAAUGUUUUAAUUUAAAUCAUAAAAUUAAGAAAUUCACCAAACAUAUCUAUAACUUUUCCAAGUGAAAAGAAAGUUUAAUGAAAUUGUAUUGUCUCCAAUGUAAGAGGACGUGGAUUCAAGUGUGUUGAUGCGUAUUAUCUUCCUAUUUAUGUGUUGCGGAAUGGUUAUAGAUAAUUUUAAAUAUUGUGUAAAAAAAAAAAAACAAAGCAUGUAAGUUUAUAUAUGCUCAGACAUGCAUAUACCAAUAUGGAAACACAUCAAACAAACAAAACUAGACAAUUCGAGCAACUAAUCCAAUUUAUUUUUCACAUUCAUAGGAGUUCGACUAUAUUUCUACUUUACCACUAUGAUAUUUUCUGAACAUUUCUAACAUUAUUUUUAUUGAAUUUAGAAACAAAUGUAACGAAUUAACCAUAAUUUUCUUUCCAUUUAGAUCUCAUCUUACUAGUAUCACUAGAAAUUGGUAAAUAUUUUUAAUACUAUCUUUUCCUAUAUUAGCUGUAGUCCAUCCUUUUCGGAAUUGAUUGACAGCAAAGUUUUAUUUAUUUUUCUCUUUAAAAGUAUAGCAUGUCUUAUCAUUGCACUCAACUACUGAUAACGUGUUAAUUUUUUUAUAUCUUUAUUACUAACCACAUAAAAUAUUUAACUAAUGAUUUUGUAUUAGAUGAACAUGAAGUAUUUAACUUUCAUGACUUAUUAUUGGAGGGACUAGUUUUUGACUUUUUAUUGAAUAGGUUUUAUUAUUGAAAUAUAUAAUGGGAAAUUAUUAAGUGGAUUUUUCUAUUAUUGAAAUAUAUUAAUUUAUUGUUAUAUCAUGGCAAAAUGAUAUACCUGCAAUCGCCAGAGAAGAUCAGAACUAGGCUGAACAUUGAACCGAUUGUUGUAGAAGUUAAGACGAGCUUCUUCAACCUCAGCUCGUUCUUCAUCUGUGCCUGCAUUUGGAUCAAACUCCCAUGUUUGUCUUCCCAGAAAAUUAUUGGUACUCUGAAGGUAAGGAUCAUUGCCACCUUCCCCUAUCUUAAGCCUCCACAUUUUCUUCCUUUAUUUAUUCUUUCACUACCAAUUCAAGAAUGGAACUGUAAGUGAUAAUUUAGUGGGUCGUAGUUAAAUGUAGAAAAUAGGAAUGAAAAUAUGGUUACCAUUUUAUGAUAAAAACCUCCCGCUUAUAUAUAGACUUUGACAACUGCUAGCUACUUGCCAUUAUUGAAUACAACCAUUUAUAUUUAUAUUUAUAUUUAUAUUUAAUUAUUUAAAAUACUAUUAUUAUUUAAAAUCAACCCCUACAUAACUUAUUAAUCAAAAUUAAUAUUUGAUUUAAAUUAUUAUUAUUUAAAAUUUUGGUUUAAUUUUAUACUUAAAUAAAAAAUUUUGUCAUUGAUAUCUUCACCUACAUAAUUUUAAUUAAUAAUAAAAUUAAUUAUUUUAAAUUUAUAAAUAAUAUAUAUCUUUCAAAUAAUCUUAUUUAAAAAUUUAAAAAUUUUAAUAUUUUAUAAAAAUUAAAUUUAGAACAAUUAGUAUGGCAUUAUUUUUUAUUGCUAAAUUCUUAUUACAUUUAUGAAAUUCGUGCACAGUAGAGUGUGUAAUUUAUGUAUUUUAAAUAUUUAAAUUUAUAAUUUAUUCAUAUUAUUCAAAUAAUGUAUUAUGUAACAACGAGGGAUGUACUUGGUUAGAAAACAAAAAAUAUGGUUAAAAUGGUACUUGAAAUUGUAACCAUAGUUUCAACCACAAAACUGCAGAAAAAAUUAAAUAUCACAACGAGUUCGAAUUGAAGUUUUUAAUAAAAAUUUUGAUCAGUAUUUUUAAAAUUAUUUUUAUUAUUAUAUAAGUAUCGAGUGAAUUUUUUCAAUUUUAAGAUAUCACGCUAAAAAAUUUAAUAGAAUAAUUUUAAUAAUGAUAACAACUGAAUCUCAAAAUUUAAAUCUAAAAAAUAAAGGACUAUAUUCCUAAGAAAAACAGUGACUAAAUUUCAAAUAUAAAAAAUGUAUACAAAUUUAAAAUAUAUUUGAACUUUCAAAUUUUUAUUUUAGAUAUAUAUAACAACACGAAACAUGACACAUAGCUAUACUAGUUAUUUUAAUUUAGAAUAAAUUAAUAUCAUAUAAAAUCUAUUUUAAUUGUGUUAAUAAUUCUCGCAGGAAGUACAGAUGUUCUUCUAUUUUGUUUAUUUUUGUUGGAUUUGAUGAUUGUUUUUGCUUUUCAAAGAAAACUUUUCAGUGCAUUGAAUUCAUUUUAAUCCUCCUGCAGUUUACAGCUAGCAAUAAUUUUCUGGAAAUUUUUCCAAGGUUUUGGUAUUAUUCACCAUUUUCAGACUUUCAUGUUUGAUGUUCCAUUUUUAUUCUCAAUAAGUUAUAUCUAAGUUAUCUUUAAAUUAUUUUGGACUUUAAAUUUUCUUUAGAUUUAUUUUUAUUUAAUUUUAAAUAUACUCUAGAUAUUAAUACAUACCAUUGCGCUCUUCAAUAUUUGAAUAUAUAUUACUUAUAACUAUAAUUAUAUUUAUAAAUUUUAAAAAAUUAUUAUUUAAUUUACCAAUAAUGUUUAAUUUUAUGUAUCAUGUCGAUUGAGUUUUAACUUAAUUGGUAUGAGUAUUGUUGUGAAUGCAGGAGGACGUAAGUUCAAGUACAUUGGAGUGCAUUAUCCUCUUAUUUAUGAGUUGCAGAAAGACUAUGGAUAAUUCUAGACAUUAUGUCAAAAAAAUAAAUAUGAUCAUAAACUAUAGUGAGAUUUUUCAAAAAAAAUUAUGUAUCAUUAACAGACUAAAAAUUGAUAUUCUAAUCAUUUUUUAAACAAUAUAUCAUCAUUUGAUUCAUGAAUAAUAAUAAAAUUGUAACAUUUUUAAUAAAAUAACCUUAUUAUUAAAAAGUCAAAAUGAUCAACGCAUUAUAAUCCAGUAAUACACAUUAUAAAUUCAUCAAACUUGAAUAAAUACAAAUUUAAUCGAAUUCACAAAAAUUUAACCGAAUUCAAACUAAAGUACGAAACUUGAAUAAAAAACCCUUAUUUUCGAAUUAACUUGAUCUAUGGAUUCCCCAAUUAGAUUUGACUCUAAUCCGGUAGAUUUAUGUCGUCCUAUUUCUAAGAUUGCAUGCAACUCCACUCAAUUAUGCUAGAUCUACUCUUAAAUAGAGACUUUUGCUCCUCCGAUUAAGCACAUUAAACAUGAAUUAAUAUCCCGAAAAUAUUCAAACAAGAGAUAAGCGCACAUAACUAAGAACAAGAAUCAAAUAUUUAUCGCAUAAAACAGAAAUUAAAUAAUAGAAUUCAUCAUAGGGUUCAUCCUCCCUAGGUAUCUAGGGAAUUAGUUCAUAAUUGUGAAUAAAAACAUCUCAAAGUCAGAAUAAUCAUAAGAAAUAAAGAAACUCAUAAAAACUUCAAGAGAAAUUAAAAGGAGGUCUUUAGUCUUGAUUGGAAAUUCGCUUCAGUGUUGGCUCCCAUAGAGUUCUUCGAGUUGUUUUCUUCGAUAUUCUCUGAUGACUCCCUAUUCUCUUAUUCUAUUUGAUAUUUAUAUUCUUUAGAAUGCCUAGAAAGCCUAAAAAUUACAAUUUUCCGCGUGUUUGGGAUGCAAGUCGCGAAAUUGACACGGUCUGGCACAUCUGAAUGGCUCACACGGCCAUGUGUCCAACCCAUGUGGGAAAGCCCAGGUUGUGUGGCUCUUGAAAUAAGCUUUAUUUGUCCAAUUUUCGCUUGUUUUUCGCUUAUUUUGCUUCCAAAUGCUCUCCUAAGUAUAGAAACAUGAAUUCAAAGGAUUAUGAGCAUAAAAUUCACCAAUUUGAGUAAAUAAUCAUCCAAAAACACAUUAAGAAUAUUUUACUUUUAUCACUUAUUAGCAAUGAUCCACUAUCUUUCUCAUAGUAUAACCAAUGAUUUAAGUCCUAACACUAGUCUAACACUUACCAAUUUAGUGACCUCACCGUUGUACAAAAACUAGAUCACUCUCCCACUAAGCUUCCCCCUCGAAAACUUAGUUUUGCAAUCCGAGAGACUAUCUUGAUCCCUCACAAAAACAAUGCACACAUAAAUAUUUCUAACAUGAACAAAUUUGUGCUCUCUUAAAGUUUUUUUUUCCCUAUCAGAUACCCUUAUUCUAAGCAAAACUUAAGUUUAUGUAGUACUUAAGUUUUGUUUACAUAAGAUUAUAUUUUAAUUGUUUUUCUAUAAAGUAAGGCUAAAAACCAGCAUAAUAUUAUACUUCAAUAAGAGUAUUGAUGUAAUAUAAUGUCCUAAACUAUAGAAUGUGACUUUACUUAUUCCGCAAGUAACCUGACUUAAUCUGUAAUAAACCAAUCUUCAAGUCUUCAAUUUUAACUCAAGUGGUCUUCAUGCGUUGGGUUUUACUCGUCCAAAUAUUUUCAUAAUAAUUAACCCAAUGCUUUUGUUCUACAAUUUGCUAACUCUUCAAAUAGGCAAGUAGGGCAAUGAAAUAGUGCCUAAGGUUGUGACAACUGUUUCAACCACAAAAACAACAAUAGAAUUAAUCUUGUCUUUAAAUAUGUCAACACUCUCCCCUUUUGGAAAUUUCUGAACAAAACAUAUACAAGAAAAAUAAAACAAUCAUAAUUACAUAUUAUUCCCCUAGGUAUCUCCCCCUUAAUCAAAGCAUCAGACAUUGAGGAAGCCAAAGAUAUCGAUGACAUGAGGACUAAUGAGUUAAUUCUAACACCUUAAACCCGACCUAAACAUUACGCACAGAUCUAAAAAAGUUACCAUGAUUCAAUUUGAAAAUCCAAAAAUUAGUUGGGCUUGUAGAAAUAGCACUAGCUUUUGAUAAAAGUAAUUUUGAUUUAUUUUAAAAGAAAAUAUCUUUCUUACUCAAUUCAUUAAUCUUGUCAAUUAAAUUUAUACCUUAAAAACACUUACGUUUGUAGUGAAACUCUUAGUUAAAUUCAAUUUUGAAAAUGUAGUUUGAUUUUGAAAAUCCAAUGUUUUGCUAAUAGACUAAUUAUAAUUUUAAAACGAUAAAACGGUUUAAAACAGAAAUUAAAAGUCCAAAUCUAAAUACAGUCUCAAAAGUUCAAAAUAAUCCAAUGAAACAAAAAUAGAUUAAUCUAGACAAAAUUUAAGGAAAUGUAAUGCAAAUAUGUAAAACCGAGCUCCGAUCACUCUGAUCUGUCCUAUGUCUGAGGGUUACCUAAGAAUCAAACAAAUAGAGAAUGAGCUUACAAGCUCAGUGUGGAACUUACUAUAAUUUAAACAGCAAAUACCAUUUCAGACAUGUGUUCUGGUACCAAUAAGACGAAUUUCAUAAACAAAAACAUAUGCAUAUCAGAUACAGAUUAAAUUCCUACCUCCAUCCGCUACACACCAUCUCUGACCAUCCCUUCAUACCAAUUAGGGUAUUAAAUACCCAACCAGCCCUACACACCAAUUAGUGUCUAUAUGACACUUUUCAGAGUACUUGCAGUUUAGUUGCCAGAUCAAUAAGCGAUAUACCCUCCAAAUACAGAUACACAUGGCUACACCAUCAAAUUAAACAGAUAAAUUAAACUGCCAGCAUUUCCUCCAUAAACAAAUUUCCCACCACAAUGCAUAUGCAAAACUAGACAGAUAUCACAUAGUGUAUGACAUACAUGUUUUUCAUAUCAUAUUCAUAUCAUACUUAGCAUAUAACAGAUCAUGCUAUCACAUAUAACAUACUACCUAUGUGUUUACUAGUCAUAUUAAACAGUAAUAGAGUAACAGAAAUCAUGGUUUAUAGGCAAAAUUAUACCAUGCAGACCCUACAAAAGGGCUAUAUUCAAUUCGCAUGGCAACUACAACCUCCGGGAAAAAUUUUAGAAUUUGGACCCACACGCCCGUGUGGCGUUGAUAGUCCAAUUUUUUGGUUUUCAGUAAUUUGCAAUUUUUAGGGUUUUCAUUACACGCUUGAUAUGAUUAUGAUGCAAAUGCAACCAUGAGACUUCUCAAACCUAGAAACGACAAUUAAAUCUCCAAUUGAGAUGAUUCCCAAACCAAAUUCACAAAAAUUGAUAUAUCCAACAUAAAGUUUAAACGAAGAAUUUCAACCUAAAACCCCAAAUUGACUCCUUAUCUUCAAGAAAUAGCAGCCCACCAACGAUUCUAGGUCACCGAAAAAUUAAUUGCCUCGCCAGCUUCACCUAGAAACUCAAACAAUUAAUCAUACGGAACAUUUUUAACCCACAACUAACAAAAAGAAUAAUAAAAACAAACUCACUUACUAUAGGGGAAAAUUUAAUGGUACUUGCACAAGUAAUUGAUAGAAUGAUUAAUGCUUCAAUGAUGAUUUUCUAUGGCACUUACAAGCAUAAAAUUCACCAUUUAAACCAAAUAAUCGUCCAAAAAUCACAUUAAGAAUGAGAUAAAACAUGCUACUUUUAGCGCUCAUCAAGGAGACUCAAGGUCAAGCAUCCAAUUUCUCCCACUCAUCUCAUAAGUCACCUCUUUGCUAUUUUGUAUGUAUACAAGUGUUUUGGGUCAUAUGGCAUGUACCUAGAUUAGUUAGCAUGUUUUUAAAUUAAUAUUUGAUACUUUUGACAUUAUAACCUAUAAAGUUUUAAAAGUUAAGUUUUAUCCUUUGAUUAGGGAUAAUCUUUGUAUGUUUAUAUAAGUUUGAAUGUGUUAGUUAAUAGGUUAAACCUUAAUGUAUUGGAUACUAUGUUUAUCUAUGUUUAUUUACGUACCAUUGCUCCGCCUAAGCUUUGGACAUCUAGUUUUUAUGCUCAUUCCAGAAAAGAAAAGACUCUCAUCGUUCUCAUUGAAAGUAUUGCAUUAUCUAAGAGAUAUAUUUCUUAAUAUUCGAGUGCCAUCAAUUUCAUCAAUGAUGAAAUAUCAUCAAAUAUGUAAACCACUUCAAAUAAAUAGCAAUGGCAAAAACCAACUUUUGUUCAACGGCCAAAUGCCAAAUUUUUUUAAUCUAUCAAAGCAGUUGUUUUUAUAAGAAAAAAACUUCUUUAUAUUUGAACUACCAAUAUUUGGUAACUACUUUUUAAUACCUUUAAUGGGUUUAGGUUCUAAACCAUUAUAGGUAGAUGAGAUCCGAUUCGAUUUAAUAUUUCCAAUUAAAAUAUAAUCUCAAAAAGAAAAUUCUAAUAAAAUUACAAACUUACCAAUUAUGAAUCUGAUUAUAAUACGAUGUAAAAAUAUAUGUGAAAAAUCGAUGUAGCUGAAUGUUUGAAGCCCAAGACCUAAAAUAAAAAAUGGAGUUCCUUACCAAUCUAAAUUUUACUCGAUAAAUCUAAUAUCAAUGAUCAAAAUCAACACUAAGAUAGAAUCUUUCACCAUCCUCAAAAAGAUAGGAAUAAAAUAAAUUAAUCAAAUAAUUCAUAAUUAAUCAUGAAUUAAAAUUAAAAUUAAAAUUAAUCUAGAUAUGAAAUAUUAAAAAAACAAACAAACAAACCUUCCUGCAAAUCUUGCCAUCCGGCAAUUUAAGAUCCCAGAGAAUAGAUCUGAUUUUCAAUCCUCAAAUGAAUAAAUUUGAUCAUAUAUCAAUAGGGUUUUAUAAAAUCUUUGUGCAUAAGGCAUCAAAGUGUUGGAGUAAUCAAGUGGUAUAAGGUGCUUGGAGCAUUAGAGGUUUUGGGUUUGAAUCUUCCCACCAGCAUUGGUUUCUUUCUCUUCUAUGCAACAGCAUCAUUUACAGAUUUCUUUACAUAAAAUAAUAAAAAUAUUUGAAUGCUUAAGGAAGGAGCUUUAAUUUUUAAUGCUUGGUUAUGGAACUUUUUUCAUAAUUUUCUUUGGGGCUAAGGAAAUAAUUAAGAAGAGGAAAAAGUUUGUUUGGGGACUAUGGAAAAUAACUAAGAAGAAAAAAGAGAGGAAAAGAGAACCAAUUUUUAUUCAUCAAUACAGAUAUAUUUAAUGGUUCUCCAAAAUAUAUAUAUUUAUAGACAUAAAUUUAUAAAUUACAUAGAAUUUUACUCUUAAUAAACAUUAAUUUUAAUGUAUAUCAAACUAUUUUUUAUCUUAAUAAACAUUCAUUUAAUAAUAAAAUAUUUAUAAUAAAAAUAAUUUUAUAUCAAAUUUAAAUACAAAAAUUAAAGUGAAGCAUAAUAAUAAUAUCAAAACCAUAAUUUCGCGUAAAUUCAAACAACCCUACCGACAAUCUUAUUAAUGAGCCUUGACUUGAACCGUUAACAUUAGAUGAUCAUGUGAUGUUCUACCUAUAAUAAUGAUGGGCCAACUUUAUACAUUUGUCACUCAACUGAAUAACAUAAAUUCAAUGAUUGUAUAGAGAUAUUCCUACGCCUUUGGUAAUUUACCUUCUGGCGGUUUCCUCAGCUUGAUCCAGUUCAUAUUUGUUUUUUUUUUUUUUUGAAAAAACCGGGGUCUAAUGUGGAGAUUAAAGAUGUUCUUUUUUGAUAUGGCACCUCUUAAAGUACCAGGUAGCGAUAGUUUUCAUGCCCUUUUCUUCCAAAAGCAGUGAGAUAUUAUUGGGGGAGCGGUUUGUGAUUGAGUCAGGAAGAUCUUUUAUGAAAAUUCUGUUGAUCCUGAUCUGAAAUUUCAAAUUUUGAAAUUUUGCUCCUCUGAUUUAAGCACAUUUAAAAUGAAUUAAUAUUCAGGAAAAUUAACACAAGAGAUAAGCACAUAUAACUGAGAACAAGAUCCAAGUAUUUAUCGUGUAAAAUAGAAAUCAAAUAAUAGAAUUCAAAUAAUAGAAUUCAUUAUAGGGUUCAUCUCCCCUAGGUAUCUAGAGAAUUAACUCAUAAUUAUAAAUAAAAAACAUCUCAAAGUCAGUAUAAUCACAAGAGAUAAAAAAAAACUCUUAAAGAACUUCAAAGAAAUUAAAAAGAAGUCUUCAAUCUUGAUGAAAUCUGCUUCAGAGUUGGCUUCAAUGGUGUUCUUCGAGUUGUUUUCUUCAAUGCUCUCUGAUAGCUCCCUAUUAUGUUAUUCUAUUUGGUAUUUAUAGGUCUUAGAAUGCCCAAAAAGCCUAAAAAUUACAUUUUUCUGCGUGUUUGGAAUGCGAAUCGUGAAAUCAACACGGUCUGACACAUGGCCGUGUGGCAGUCCGUGUGGCUCACACAGUUGUGUGUCCAGCUCGUGUGGGAAGACCCAGCCCUUGUGGCUCCUAAAAUCUACUCUGAUUAUCUAAUUUUUGCUCUUUUUGCUCUUUUUGCUCUCAAAUGCUCUCCUAAGUAUAGAAACAUGAAUUUAAAGGAUUAGGAGCAUAAAAUUCACCAUUUUGCAUAAAUAAUCAUCCAAAAACGCAUCCAUCCAUAUGAACCGCCCUCGAGCUUUGCUCGACACACCAACCCAUAUAACAAAAACUGACCAUCCUUGAUUUGAUUUCUGGUGAUGAUGGUCAUUGACUAGUCAUCUGUGACGAUGACUUUCACUACCACCCGAUUUGGUCCGAUUUUGAUGGUGUUUUAAAACGACCAUACUGUCCUAUCCGGUUUUGGUCCUAAAUUAAUUUAGAUAGUGUUUUGAUGGUCCUAAAUUUAAACCUGUAUGCAUAGUACAAGAUUAGUACAAGAUUAAUAUAUUUAACUUCUAUUGUUUGGGUCUAGACAAAUUUCAAAAUUUAAAAAGUAUAGGGACUAAAAUUAAUUAAUUUGAAAAGUAUAGAAACUAAAUUUGAUCAAAUUAAAAUAUAGGAACUAAAUAUAGAACUUUUGCAAAAUACAGGAACUAAUAGUAAAUUUUAACCUAGAUUAUAUUGUUAUUCAUUAUUGGCCUAUAAUUAGUUUCGAUGCAUAAAUCAACAUAAAAAUCGGAACUCUAAAUUGACACAAGAAUGCUUUGAGAGAGUGCAAAUUAUUUAUCUUGGUCUCGAUAAACAUCCACCUAAUAAUAAGAUAUUCAUAACAAAAAUAUCAAUAAAAAAUAAUAAAAAUAUCAAAAUCAUAAGUUAGCAUCAACAUUAAGUUUGAUUACAUUGGUUGAAACUGAUGUACUACCAAUAUUAAUGACAAUUGAAUAAUAUUACUAAAAUUAUCAGAACCAUAAUUUGGCAUAAAUUCAAACAACCCUACCGACAAUCUUAUUAAUGAGCCUUAAUUGGUUGAAUGCGAUGUACUGCCUAUAUUAAUUACAACUGAACCACGUGUCAAAAUGCCUGUUAAUAGGGCCAACUUUAUACAUUUAUAACUCAACUGAGUACAUAAAUUCACAUUUAUAUAUGAUAUUACUAAAAUAAUACUAGCCGUAAUUAAGAAAGAAAAAAAUUUUAAUUAGAUAUGACACUUUUUUAAUCACGAUUAUAUAAUUAAAAAAUUCACUAAAGAUAUAUAAUAUAAAUUACAUGUAAAAUUUUCGAAUUCAUCUUACCAACUUAGAACUGUGAUGAACAUCUUGUAUAUUCAUAUCCAAUAUACUAAUGAAAGAGAUUAUAUUUAUAUUCAUUUUCCGCCUAUAAUUAGUUUCGAUGCAUAUAUCCUCAAUAUACUAAUUAAAUAGAUUAUAUUGAUUUUCUUUUGGCAAUAGAUUAUAGGUUAAAUUCUGUCAUCAGUCUAUGUACUUUGUGAAAGUUGUAGAUUUAAUUUUUAUAUUUUAAUUUAUCACUUUUCGUACGUCUUUGAAUUUUGCAGAAUUUAAAAUUUCAGUCAUCACCAAACGAUAACUAUUAAAUUCAUUCAGUUAAGUUUUUCUAUUUCUAAAAUCUGAUGUAUGAAACAUAUUAUUAUAUAUGUAAUGUCAUUUCAACUUGUUAUUUUUAUAAAUUACUCACUAAAAAUUCAGCUAAUGAAUGAUAGUUGUAAGGGCUCAAUUUCGUCCAGCCCAAAACCAAGAAAUAAAUAAACAAAAUAAAAAACCAAAAAAUUAAAAAGUCCAAGUCCAUUUACAAAAUAAUGGCCCAAAUACAAAACCCAAACCCAGUGUUACACAAUCCCAAGCCCAACUAACUUAAAGUUUUUAGAAACCCUAAAGCCCUAGGGUACCCACACCGUCGCUUUCGCCUCGUCAGCGAACUCGACGCCCGAGGUCUGACACCUCGUCUGCCCUUUCAUCGAAAUGGCAAGGCACAGCUUUCCAAUGCCGUUGACCUUGCCAUGGGUACUUACAAAGAGAGAACGAAAAGGACAGAGAGGGAAAACAGUGGAAACAACUAAAGCAACGAGAAAAAAUAUAAAAAAAUAAUUAAUAUGUAAUAUAUGCCUAUAAAAGUCAUAACCACGGAUUGUAAUUUUUAACAAUGAUACAAGAAACGCUGCCGUUGACUCAGAGUCUUCUUUUGAGCAGGAUAUGUGUCCAGAGGAACCCUAGGACUCUAAAGGUGAUCGAGAUUAUAACCUACCUCCUGAUUUGUUAAGGAUGAUAGAACAAAAUAAGAAACAGAUCCUACCUCACAGGACUUUGAGUGUGAGUGACUUAUUGUAUUCGUGAUAAAAAAUAGUGGAAUUACUCACUGAAUUAGGCUCCGCAAACAUAGGGAAACUGAACUAUGUAAACAAACCUUAGUGUUAUUUUUGUUUUGUUUGCAUAAUUUUUUGCGGUGUUAAGCAGCAGUGGUCACUACAGUCUAACACUUCCAGUGCAUUUGUUAUUUUAAGCAAACAAGCAACUUUCGGUAACAACAAUAUUUAAUAAAAAAAUUCAUAUAUAAAAUAUAAAUAUUUUAAUAAUAUAGAUAUGAGUAUUUUAAUAAAAUUCAUAUACAAACUUUUUAUCUUUGAACCCUUUAAUAAUUAAAUUUUUAUAUUGGUCCCCAACACUGAAUUUCUGGUUUUGCCCAUAAAUAUUAGAUAUGAAUUAGGUUAUAUUUUAAAAAUUACAAAAAAAAAAACAACAAUCUUUUGAUUUCAAUCUUGUAAUUUAAAACAAUGUAUCAAAGUAGUUAGAUAAAUAUUCAUUAUUGGCCUAUAAUUGAUUAUGAUGCAUAUAUCCCACCAAUAGGAAUACUUAUCUAUUAUUUUUGUAUCAGUCAUUUGCUAAACUUGAUAAAUAAUAAACUCAUGUGGUUUCUUACAAAGCUUUCAUAUAUAUUAAGCUCUAUUUUACUUUUAUUCAAUUUCUUUUGUUCUAAUGUUAUCCUCAUUUCAUUUUAUAAAUUAUCUGAAUAAAAGAACUUAAAGAUCCUUACGGAUUUCCAGUAAAUAUCCUCAUUAAGUCAACCUCUCCUCCUCAUCGGUGUGCUUCUUCUUCUUGGGUUAUCAACAGGUUCUGUUCUCCUUUUCUCUGUCUAUUGUUUUUGUUGAUCGUGAUUUGUUCUUGGGUGUGCCUCUCCUCCUCUGCUGUUUUUGCUCCUGUAUGUUUUAUAUUGAAGGAUCUUGUUAAUUUGUUGCAAAGGUGUCAAGCAAAAUGCUCCUGCAUGAAUAGAUUUUGGUCUUAGGUUUGCUAGAUCUUCUUCCCUAAUCUGUUUGAUUGUGUCCCUAAUUUUAAACAAUCUAAUUAGCUUGCUAAAAAAUUACAGCCUUGUUCGUCACCUGUUCUCGCGAUUCAUCGAAAGUAGAUUUCUACUCACAUUCUUGAUUGGAAGCUCUAGGGUUUUCUUUUUCUUUUUCUUUUUUCUACUUUCUAGAUCUAUUUCUUUGUUUCUUUAAUUGAGUUUUUAUUUCAGUUUUAUUUUUUAUUUUGUUCAAUUGCUGAGGUUCGAUGAAUGAAGUAGGAUUGAACUGGUAAUUUUUGAGCUUAAACUGGCUUUACUGUGUUAAAUGGAGCAUUUCAUUUGAUGAAACUGGAUUUUGUUAGUCAAAAAAAUGAAGAAACAUUGAGGAAUUUAACUGAAAUAAUAUUGGUUUUUUUCUCGUUUGAUUCAAUCUUGGCUUGGAUUUAAUUGAAGUAAGGAAAGUGAAGUUGAAUUCAAUUAUUCGUAUCCUUGUGCCAUGAUAAAAAAUGCUAGGAACACAAGAGCGCAGAAAAUCGAGUUGUCACCUAUUGCAUACUGUGAAUUUCCAUGCUGUGAAUUUCUAGGCAUUGUAACUUCACCUGUCUGCUGUUGUCUAAAGUUGUGCAUUUGUUCAGUACCUAGGCGAAAAUUGAGUUGUCACCUAUUGCAUACUUUAGCUUUGCAGCAAUUUUUUGUUUCAAAACGAGUGAUGUAGGAUAAGGCUUUAGCUUUGCAAAAUGUUGUGUGUUUCAAAACAAGUGAUGUAAGAAAAGUAAGGAGAAGAGAUAGACUAUUGGGAAAAUCUGAAAUUGACUGAUAAUAAUGUGUGAGGAGCAGACAAAAUUGGGAGGAAACAAAAGAAAUAUAUAGAGAACAUCGAAAAGGAAUCAACAGAGUAAGGAAUCAAUCUCAGUGAGAUUGAUAUUAUUUAGAAUUUUUAGAAUCAAUUAGCACCUCUCGUAUGUAUAUAUUAUUUUUGUGCAUUAAAUAAGAAUUACAACCCCAUGCGAAUGUUUAACAUCACCCAUCAACGACAUUAUAAAUUAUUAAGUAAACAUACGUAUAUUAUUUGAGGUUUACGCAUGUACUUAUGUUUACAACUUGAGAAUUUAAUAAUGGAUUAAAUCGGCAUAAUGUCAAUAAUGAAAUGCAUUUUCUAAUGAGUAUUCGACGUCACCAUAAGCCAUAAGCCAUUUUCAUCUUAUAGCAAUAACACAAGGCAUAGCAUUGACAUAUAUACUGAUAUAUAAAUAAAAUUUUAAUUUAUUGAUAUAUAUUAUAUAUCUUUUUAGUCUGUUGCUCAGCUGGAGGUAUAGUAAAACAAAUGGCAGUGUUCUUCUGCUCGAGUUUGGUUAUUUUGCUGAAAUUUAUUUAUUGGGCUAACUUUUUUGAACUAUGAUUCUAUCUUAAGUCAUAAUGUGUUAAUGAUAUGGUUGUAAAAGGUUUUCCCACACAACCUUGAUUUCUAACUUUAUCAAUCUCUGAUUCAUGAUUCUGAUUCUGAUAUGCUUGUUUUAUUAAAUUUGUGCUGCAAAGAUGGGCAAAUAGCGUUAGUAGCAAUUUUUGUUUUGAUGCAUGAGAGGUAAAUUGAAUUGGUGGUUCAAUCAUGAUUUUACAUUCAUAUGGGUUUUACUGGCAAGUGCCUUGAGUAAACUAUUAUAGUAGAUUGUUUAUUUUAAAUGUAGUAAUUGAUCCUCAUAUAUGAGGGGAAGAGAUGAAUAUAUUUUGAAUUUGACUUGCUGCAUGCAGUACUUCUGUAGCUAAGGAGCGAAAACGUGCUCUAAUUCUAUGCUGGUUUAAGUAAAGAGUGUUAUUAACAAUCAAUUAAAAGGAAAUAUUUUCAAUACACAUUAGAAAGUCAAACUUGAACACAUUAGCUUAACUUGAACACAAUUACAUAAGUUCUUUCAAUAUGAAGAACGAGGAUUGAACUUGAAGACAUUAGCCUAACUACAAUGAUUAGAAAGUCAAAACCAUUCAUCUUGUUUAAAGACUCAAUUUCCGUUGAUGUCGAAAUAAUCAAUUUUAAGAUUAAAUUUAUUAAUUCCAGUCAUCUAAAAAGUUGAAACGAGAACAUCAUGAGUGGAAUAUGGGAGUGAGAAAUGAAAUUAGUUAGUAAUUAUAUUGAUUAAGUUAUUAUACAAAUAAUACAGGGAGUAAAUUGUAAGGUUAAUUAAAUGAGGAGAUUUGGUUAAAACUUUAUGCAAGCCCUUAUUGUGCAAUUAAGCCAAGGAUUAAUAAACCAUUAUUAAAUUUAGUUUAGUGGAUUGCCAUGAAAUGAUUGGUUGAUUGCCACUAUUGAAACUUUGAGAAAAUAUGACCAUUGAAUUUUCAUUAAUUAUGUUGGAUUAAAAUGUAAAAAAUUAUAAUAUUAAACAUAAUUAGUUAUUCAUCUUUCUCCACCGAAAUCUCUUGAGGAAAGUUUGGUCUCUUAUUUCUCAUUAAUUAUGACAGUAGCUUUUUUUAGUUAAAAGUAAGAAGUAUAAAAAAAUUUGGCUUCAAAAAUUUUCUCAAGGUUGAAGAUAUUGAUACUUUUAUGUGAUGUAAACAAUGUUGUUGUUAUUAUGUGGUAUACUAAUUAAUUAUGCAUUUGGGUAAUAUUAAUUUCUAGUAUUAAUUGUGGUUUGGAAGCUAAUUUAUAAUUAUUCGAUUCUUGUUUUUUUGUUUUUUUAUAACACAAUUACAAAUGAUUUAUUUGACUUUGGUUGUUUUCAAUUAAUGAUGAUUAAUAUUCUAGCUUAAUAAUUGAGUAUUAUUAUAUAUUUAAUUUGAUUUAUUUAUUUAUAAAUAAAUCAUUGCAAUAUAUGUAAAAAUAAUUUAAAAUAUAUAUUUAUUAAUAUGUAUAUUAAAUUUAUUAAUAUAUGUAAAAACAGUUUUUCUGGAAAAUAUUUUCAGGAAAUCUGCCAAACAACACAAAUUCAUUCAAACACUAGAAAAGUAAAUCAUUUUCUAGAGAAGUAAAUCAUUUUCUAGAAAUCAUUUUCUGAAAAACAUUUUACUGACAAACAAACGGAGUCUAAAUAUAUACAAAAGAAGUUAUGUUAAUAUUUAUUUUUUAUACAAUACAAUCUAAAAAAUUUCACACUUACAGAUGCACUCUCCUAUACAACCACACGGGUAAAAUUUUCGAAUUCAUCCUACGAACCUAGAACUGUGGUCAACGUCUUUAACCAAUGAAACAAACGUUGGGUUCUAUAUUAAUGUCCAAUAUAAUAAUGAUAUACUAAUGAAAGAGAUUAUUAUUUCGAUGCAUAUAUCCCCAAUAUACUAAUUAAAUAUAUAUAGGUUAAAUUUUCGGUAAUGUCGUUGCCAUUGGCGUUAUCAUCUGUCAUUUUCAUUCAAUUAUUGGCGGCAAGAAUUAAAAAGUUAUAUUUUUGGGUGUCGUCAUUGUUAUUGACUGCACCAAUAUUUGUACGUGUCCAAAAUACCUAUAAUUUGAGGGGAGAAUAGAAAAAAAAUUAUUUUUUUAAUAGGUGGCGCCAUAGCCAUUGGUGUCACCAAAUUUGAAUUUUUUUUGUGGUGCCAUAGCCAUUUGCAUCACGUGUGUCAGAGAAUACUUAAUAUUUUUGGUGGUGCCAUAGGGAAUGGCGUGACCAAUGUCAAAUGGGGGAAUUGAUUUUUUUUUUGUGGUUCCAUAGGCAUUGAUGUCACUCGUAUAAAUUUUUUCCUAUUAUUUGAUUUUUUUCUUUGUGGUGGCAUUAACAUUGGCGGCACUAAAAUGCUAUACAUACCCAUGCCCUUGAUGAAAGAUCAGUGUAAGGCGAAGAAAUUUUUUCUUUUUUUACAAUUUUAUUAUGUUGAAGGAUGAAGGGGAGGGAGAAAUUUUUUUUGAUUAGUUUUAGGGGAGGGAAGAUAGAAAUUUUUAGUGUUGAGAAAAUUGUGCAAACAAAACAGAAACAAUACAGAAGUUUGUUUACACAAUUCAAUUUCUCUGUCUGCGGAGCCUAGUUCAAUGAGUAACUUCGCUAUCUUUUAUCAUAAAUACAACAAGUGAUUCACACUCUAUCACUUCCAAAGUAUAGAGAUCUCAUAUUUGUACCUAAAGACUAGAAUACUCAUCUCCAGAUCCUCCCCCUAAGAACUUGGGUAGUAAACAAUUAACAAUGUUUACAAUUCAAUUUGCACUCUCUCACAAAGCCAUUCCUCAAUGAACAAAUUAUAAUGCACUCAAUAAGCUCUCUUACAAAACCUAUACAAGCCUCAAAGUAUAUAUCAGAUUCAGCUUACUAACAUAGAAUUUAAGUGAAUACAAAGUAAUUCCUUGGAAUUGCUAUCACAAUCUCAAUAAUUAAAGUACAAUCAAUCGAAGAUCUGGUUUCCAUAACAACUACAAGGUCUUCAUCGAUCCUCCAUGUUUCAAGGGUUGAUUUGAUUCACUCGAAUCCAAUCCAACCUCCAAAUGCCUAGGAUUGGUUUUCCUUAGAUGGACCAUAAUAUCUUCAAAAAUGCUGAAUAUAACUAGGUUCAAAGAUUUUCUUCAUUAAAUUAUCAAACCAAAUAUGACAAGUUUUUAAACCACCUCAGUAGCAGUCUGCAAUUGGCUCUGUCAAGCGCCACUCAGCAACUCUCAACUUAUUUUGCCUUAACAUUAACAAUUUUAAGUAAUUUUUAGAACAUUUUUUUGAAUAUUUUAGGUUUUUUUUUAUAAAUUUUAAUAACUUUUGAAUUAUAUAUAUUAAUUUUUUAAUUAUUUUUAAUCUUUUUAAUUUUUAGAAUCAAAACCUAAAUGACAAAAUGGGUAAGCGUUAAGGGUCAAAAUUGUUGAAUUUUUUAAAAUCAAGACUAAAUUAACAAAAUGUGUAAACUUUAAUUUUGUUAUUGUACUAGCAAUUCAUCUUUUGACCAAAAGUAUUUUAAUGGAGUGGCUGCAAAUUACAAUUGAUCUAACAAGAGUGACUAAAACAAUAAAAAGAAUUGAGGUGACCAAAACUGGAGUGCUUUAAAACUUGGUAGACUAUUUAGGCAGUUUACUCUUUUUUUUUAGUUAAACUUUAAUUGAAAAACCUUCUUUCUAUUAUUUGAAUUGAGUUGACCCGAAAACAAAAAAUCUUUUAGCUAUACCUAAACUGUUUUGGGUGCACCACACAUGUUGAAUAAGAAGAUUUUAGCAAAUAGUAAAUGGCUAACAAUUUGAAGGAGCAAUUGGCUAAGGUUUUGUGUUGAAAAAAUUACCAUCUUAUCAUUUCUACUACAUCUAGGGGUAGCACCAAAGCUGGUAGGGCCACUUCGAAAAAUUUAUCACAUUGGACUUUUAAAUUUUAUAAAAUUAUAAAUUUGACUAUUUAAAGAUGAUAAAAUUUUAAUUUAAUCGUUUAAAAAUUAUAAAAAAAAUAACAAUGAAAUUGUAUUUUAACACUUAAAAAAUACAUAACUUAAUUGACAUUUAACAUUUUAUAAUCUUAUAAAAUUAUAGGAAAUAUAAAAACUAAAUUAUAGAUAUUCACUAAAUAAAAUAAAAUUAUUAAAAAAGACCCUCAAACUUUAUCAAUUUAUUUAAAUAAGCCCCUUAAAGAAUAAAUCAAAAGUCAAUGUCUAAUAGAGUACAAAAUGCAGUUAAUUAUAUUCAUAGCUUAUAAUUUUUAAAAACUAAAACAACGAAUAGAGAAUUUUUCUUUUCUUCCUUCUUUCUUCUGUUGAAAGGUCAACAAAGGUAGGAAGCAACUUGUUAAAAAGGUUGAGCAAGUUGCACCGAAUGUUGAAAAGUUGAAUGGGAUAAUUUUAAUUUUGGUCCCUAAUUUUUUAGGCCAUUUGCAAGUUAGUCCCUGAACUUCAACUAUAAAUAGGCCUUUUCAUUUUUCAUUUCAACCAUCCCAACCAAUCUUUCUCUCUUAGUUUUCUCUCUUCUCCCAUUUGAGAAUUCUUAAGGAAUUCUAUUUGUUUGUAAUACUUUGGAGAUAGUAAAGUUAUCAUCUGGUGUUAGUGCCCGAGGACGUAGGUAUAAUUUACCAAACCUCGUUAAAACUCUUAUGUUCUUUUUGUCCUAUUUUUCUUUCAAUAUUUGAGGGUAUAAUAGUAGUAUUUAAUUGUGCUAUUAAAUUACGUUAGAAGGAAUAUUCUGACUAAGGAAAGACUUGGUAUUUAAGAGAUCCUUGUGAUCCACCUCUCUUCCCUGGGAAUUGAACUUUGUGUGAUUUUUUAUUACAAUAAUUUACACGCUUCCGACCCUAUUGGAACAACAAGUGGUAUCAGAGCCGAAGGUUAAUUGUAGUAUGCUCUGUGGUUGCAGUUUAAACUGAUCUUCCACAUCAGAAAAGAUUUCCUUAGGUAUAUUGAAAGAUUAUGGAGAAAACGGUCGGUAUAGGAGCUUCAACAUCGUCCAUGUGGACAAGACCGACAAUUGCAAAUGAAAGAUUGGCCGUGGAGAUCUUUGAUGGCACGGGCCAUUUUGGUAUGUGGCAAAGUGAGGUUCUAGAUGCCCUUUUUCAACAGGGUCUAGACAUUGCCAUUGAUGAAGAGAAACCAGAUGAUGUACAGGAGAAAGAUUGGAAGGCGAUCAAUCGGUUGGCAUGUGGCACAAUUCGAUCAUGCCUUUCUCGAGAGCAGAGGUAUGCUUUUUCAAAGGAGACUUCUGCAAAUAAGUUGUGGGUGGCACUUGAAGAAAAAUUUUUGAAAAAAAACAGUCAAAAUAAGCUCCACUUGAAGAAAAGACUGUUUCGCUUCACAUACGUCCCAAGUACCACAAUGAAUGAUCACAUCACCAAAUUUAAUCAGUUAGUCACUGAUUUGCUGAAUAUGGAUGAGACAUUCAAAGAUGAAGAUUUGGCUUUGAUGCUGUUGGGGUCACUUCCUGAGGAGUUUGAGUUCCUAGAAACUACUCUACUUCAUGGCAGGAGUGAUAUAUCUCUGAGCGAAGUCUGUGCGGCCUUAUACAGUUAUGAACAGAGAAAGAAGGACAAACAGAAAAACUCAAUCAGAGAUACAGAAGCUUUAGUAGUCCGAGGUCGUUCAUACACUCGGAAGAAAACUCAAAAGGGGAGAUCAAAGUCAAAGUCCAGACUCGGGAAAGAUGAAUGUGCUUUUUGUCAUGAGAAAGGCCACUGGAAGAAAAAUUGUCCAAAGCUGAAGAAUAAGGGAAAAGCUGCUGUAGAUGCUUGUGUUGCAAAGCAUGAUACUAGUGACUCUGAACUAUCACUGGUUGCAUCAUCAUCGUCGUUCCAUUCAGAUGAGUGGAUAUUGGAUUCGGGUUGUACCUAUCAUAUGUCCCCUAACCGGGAGUGGUUCUCUGAUUUAGUAGAACUAAAUGGAGGAGUUGUUUAUAUGGGCAAUGACAAUGCCUGUAAAACUGUUGGGAUAGGUUCAAUCCAAUUAAAGAAUCAAGAUGGAUCAACCAGAGUUCUGACUGAUGUUCGGUAUGUGCCCAGUUUGAAGAAAAAUCUCAUCUCAUUGGGAGCCUUGGAAUCCAAUGGUUCAGUUGUUACUAUGAGAGAUGGGAUUUUGAAAGUGACAUCUGGCGCACUUGUGAUAUUGAAGGGCAUCAGGAAAAAUAACUUGUAUUACUACCAAGGUAGUACAGUUAUUGGAGCAGUCGCUACAGCUUCCGGUAACAAAGAAUUGGACUCAAUGCAGUUGUGGCAUAUGAAGUUGGGACAUGCCAGCGAAAAAUCCUUGCAAAUUCUGGCAAAGCAAGGAUUGUUGAAAGGUGCAAAGGCUUACAAAUUAAAAUUUUGCGAGCAUUGUGUUCUGGGAAAGCAAAAGAGAGUGAAAUUCGGUACUGCUAUCCAUAAUACAAAAGGUAUUUUGGAAUAUGUUCACUCAGAUGUGUGGGGGCCUUCCAAGACACCUUUAUUGGGAGGAAAACACUACUUUGUUACUUUUGUUGAUGACUUUUCCAGAAGAGUUUGGGUGUAUACCAUGAGAACUAAGGAUGAAGUGCUUAGAGUUUUUCUUAAAUGGAAAACUAUGAUCGAAAACCAGACUGGCAAGAAAAUCAAGCGGCUUAGGACGGACAAUGGAGGGGAAUAUAAAAGUGAUCCGUUCUUCGAUGUGUGCCAAGAGUAUGGUAUUGUUCGACACUUUACAGUUAGGGAUACACCACAGCAGAAUGGAUUGGCAGAGCGUAUGAAUCGAACAUUGCUUGAGAAAGUUCGAUGUAUGUUGUCCAAUGCUGGGUUGGGCAAGCAAUUUUGGGCUGAGGCUGUGACAUACGCUGGCCAUCUUGUUAAUCGUUUGCCAUCAUCUGCAUUAGAAAGAAAAACUCCUAUGGAGGUAUGGUCUGGAAAACCGGCUACAGAUUAUGAUUCCUUACAUGUGUUUGGAUCCACUGCAUAUUACCAUGUGAAGGAGUCAAAGUUAGAUCCGAGGGCAAAGAAAGCUCUCUUUAUGGGAAUCACUUCUGGAGUGAAGGGAUUUCGUCUUUGGUGCUUAAGCAUAAAGAAAAUGAUCUGUAGCAGAGAUGUUACCUUUGAUGAAUCUGCCACAUUGAAAAAGGUAGCAGAUAAAGAUAUUCAGACGAGCAAUACUCCACAACAGGUGGAGUGUACUCCAAAACAGGUGGAGUUUGAGCAGAUGGGGAUUUGCUCAGUUAAUAAGUCUAAUUCUCCAGCCACAAUGGAGGAAUUAGAGGUUGAAGAGGUUCUGACCCAAGAACCACUAAGUACACCAGAACCAGUUGCAGUUGCAAGGCCACAGAGAGAAAUUCGUAAACCUGCUCGAUUUACUGAUAUGGUGGCCUACGCCCUUCCCGUUGUUGAUGAUAUUCCUAUCACUUAUCAAGAAGCAAUGCAAAGCUUAGAAAGUGAUAAAUGGAAAAGCGCCAUGGAUGAAGAAAUGCAGUCUCUCUUGAAGAAUAAUACUUGGGACUUGGCGCAAUUACCGAAAGGUAAAAGGGCAAUCGGAUGCAAGUGGGUAUUCGCAAAGAAAGAUGGAUCUCCUAGCAAGAAGGAUAUUCGCUACAAGGCAAGAUUGGUAGCUAAAGGCUACGCUCAGAAGGAGGGAAUUGACUACAAUGAUGUAUUUUCCCCUGUUGUGAAGCAUUCCUCCAUUAGAAUUUUGUUGGCCUUGGUAGCACAGUUGAAUUUGGAGCUAGCUCAACUUGAUGUUAAGACGGCUUUCUUGCAUGGUGAGUUAGAAGAGGAGAUCUAUAUGACUCAGCCCGAAGGAUACACAGAUGCUGGUGGUAGAAAUUGGGUUUGUAAGCUGAACAAAUCGCUAUAUGGAUUGAAGCAAUCCCCGAGGCAGUGGUACAAGCGAUUUGAUAGCUUUAUGAGAAGGCAGAAGUACACAAGAAGCAAAUAUGACAAUUGUGUAUAUUUGCAGAAGCUGCAUGACGGAUCUUUCAUUUAUCUACUCUUGUAUGUUGAUGAUAUGUUAAUCGCAUCGAAGAGCCAAAAUGAGAUAGAUAAGCUGAAGGCUCAGUUGAAUCAAGAGUUCGAGAUGAAAGAUCUAGGUGAGGCCAAGAAGAUUCUCGGCAUGGAGAUAAGUAAAGAUAGACCGAGAGGCAAGCUCUGUUUAAAUCAGAAGCAAUAUCUGAAAAAGGUAUUACAAUGUUUUGGUGUAAAUGAAAACACAAAACAUGUAAGUACCCCACUUGCUUCUCAUUUGAAACUUAGUGCUCAAUUAUCUCCGAAGACUGAAGAUGAAAGAGAAUAUAUGGCGAAAGUCCCAUAUGCUAAUGCAGUUGGGAGUUUGAUGUAUACGAUGGUGUGUACGAGGCCUGACAUUUCACAAGCUGUUGGAGUUGUGAGCAGGUAUAUGCAUGAUCCUGGAAAAGGACAUUGGCAAGCUGUGAAAUGGAUUCUACGGUAUCUUCGAAAAACUGUAGAUGUUGGUUUAAUUUUUGAACAGGAUGAAGCACUUGGUCAGUUUGUAGUUGGAUAUGUUGAUUCCGACUUUGCUGGUGAUUUAGAUAAACGUCGUUCAACUACGGGGUAUCUGUUUACUCUUGCGAAAGCCCCAGUGAGUUGGAAGUCUACCUUACAGUCUACAGUAGCUGUGUCUACUACAGAGGCAGAAUAUAUGGCAGUUACAGAAGCUGUUAAGGAGGCUAUUUGGCUUAAUGGAUUAUUGAAAGACUUGGGAGUUGUUCAAAGUCACAUUAGUCUAUAUUGUGACAGUCAGAGUGCUAUUCAUUUAGCGGAAAAUCAAGUCUAUCAUUCAAGAACCAAGCAUAUCGACGUAAGAUAUCACUUUGUGCGGGAAGUCUUUGAAAAAGGAAAAAUUCUACUUCAGAAGAUUCCGACAGCAGAUAAUCCCGCAGAUAUGAUGACCAAAGUGGUAACAACAAUCAAGUUUAAUCAUUGUUUGAACUUGAUUAACAUCCUGAGAAUUUGAGCACCUACAGGUGUAUGGCGCUCGAGAGCGCAUUUAGAGGCACUACAAAAGAUAACUUUAUCGAAUUUGGGGAGUUGAAGGAAGUGUGUGAAGAUGUGAUUAUCCUAAUCAAAUCUUCAAGGUGGAGAUUGUUGAAAGGUCAACAAAGGUAGGAAGCAACUUGUUAAAAAGGUUGAGCAAGUUGCACCGAAUGUUGAAAAGUUGAAUGGGAUAAUUGCAAUUUUGGUCCCUAAUUUUUUAGGCCAUUUGCAAGUUAGUCCCUGAACUUCAACUAUAAAUAGGCCUUUUCAUUUUUCAUUUCAACCAUCCCAACCAAUCUUUCUCUCUUAGUUUUCUCUCUUCUCUCAUUUGAGAAUUCUUAAGGAAUUCUAUUUGUUUGUAAUACUUUGGAGAUAGUAAAGUUAUCAUCUGGUGUUAGUGCCCGAGGACGUAGGUAUAAUUUACCGAACCUCGUUAAAACUCUUAUGUUCUUUUUGUCCUAUUUUUCUUUCAAUAUUUGAGGGUAUAAUAGUAGUAUUUAAUUGUGCUAUUAAAUUACGUUAGAAGGAAUAUUCUGACUAAGGAAAGACUUGGUAUUUAAGAGAUCCUUGUGAUCCACCUCUCUUCCCUGGGAAUUGAACUUUGUGUGAUUUUUUAGUACAAUAAUUUACACGCUUCCGACCCUAUUGGAACAACACCUUCUUCCUUCUCUCCACCCCUUAUUAAUCAAGUCUUAAGUUGUUAAAUUAUUAAAAAAUUAUUAUUUUUCAAAGUAAUUAUUUAAGAGUAUUUUUACUUUUUACAUAAAAUUCAGAAAAAUACAUACAUAUAUUGAAGUUUGAAUCCAAGAUACUAUAACAUCUACCCUUCAACCUUAGAUUCCAACCGAAGCUACAUCUGAUUUUUAUGCCAGAUUUCAAUAAACUUAUUACAUCAUUAUUUUUACUCAGAUCGUAGGUUAACCAAUCUAUUGUAUAUAAUUCUCUGAUCCAUUCUUAUAAUUCAAAAGCAUAUAUAUUUUGAAGGCCAAACAUGGUCCCGAUACUCAGCAAGCGCCCACAGUGGAAAAACAUUUCUAUAUAUUGCAUAGUGUAACAUACAGUUCCUCAUGAAGACACCAGCCAGUCCCUGCCAUUUUUCAUUUGUUCCAAAAACCACAAAAUUAGUAUAUAUAUAGUUAAAUAUUUCUUUUCCUUUCCUUUUUUCUAAUGAUAUAUAUACAAAUAUAAAAAGUUACCUGCUGAGGAAAACCACCGUUUGGCAACUGAGAAUUUAUCAACAAUUUUGCAGCUCGAUGUAGAGGUGUAGGAUCCCUCUCAGCCUAUUUAGUAGCAUAUGCAUAUAUCUUAUAGUGAUUAAGGAAAUCAACACACCAAUAAUUUUAAAAUAUAUAGAAUCUUUGUUUUUGGGUACAUUAAGUCAUAAAAUCAUUGUUAAUUAUAUGUAAAGCAUACCUGGCCACUAACAAUUAAACUCAUCAUUGCUUGUGCAGUACUUACUAAAUUCGAUUCUUUUUCCUCAAUGGGUGUAUAUACCUUUCAUCAAAAACCAACAAAAAUAAAAGUAUUUAUAAUUAUAUAUGUCAUUUACGGAGAGAAUUAAGUGCGAUAUGAGAUAAUGUGUGAUUAAGAUAAGAUAUUGAUGAGGGUGAGUCGAUUAUUUUGAAAGUUAUGUAAUUAAUUCUACUUUCAAUGGUAUUGUCUCUUAGAGAAGGUUUUUGUCUCUCGUACUAUUGAGACUUAAUAUGUCUUGAGGGCCUGGUUCACAGAGUUGAAAGCAUUCACUUAGUGAGUGGCUGUGCGCUCAUGUACAAACGAGGUGCUCCUUGCUCUGCGAACCAGACUCUCAAGGUAUGCUAGCUCUCAGAAGAACACGCGAGAUAAAACUCUUUCCAGAGACAAAACCUUCAAUUGUUGGUGGUUUGGUCAGCUAUUUAAGUGACGACACUUUGAAAAUUUCUCCCAAAUGAGCCGGUCCACCCUCAGCAGAUAUAAAUCUUAAAAUUGUAUAUUAAUUUUGAUUUAAUGCACAUGAAAUAGAUUCAAUUAUUUUCAUUCUGAAUAAAUUUAUUUAUUUGUAUGUGUAAAAUUAUACUAUAUUAAUAUCUGCGUUAAUAAUUGGUGGAAAGUAAAUCAUACUUAAAAUUUCAUAUAUAGAUUAAACAAAAAUCUAAAUUCAUUUAUAAUCUUAUAUUAUACCAUCCUUUCAAUUAAAUGAAGAAAAGAAAACCUUCUUUAAAUAUUAAUUACCUUUUUGGGACAAGAAAGGUAACUCUCUCCCCAACCACCAUCUUCUCUUUGGGUUCUAAGCAAAAAAUCAACUCCUUUCCGAAUAGCCAAGCAAUUUUCGAAGUUCUUCCCAGCAGCUUUAAGACCUAAGAGUGCAAACCAUGUCCCAUAAAAGAAGCAAAUUCCCCAAUUUCCAUACCUACACACACACAUAUAUAUAGGAAUUAUAUAUCCAUCCCAUCAAAUUUCAUGUUUUGAAGAAAUGAAAAGGCCUUAUUAAGUCCUUACCAAGAACCAUCGGGAUAUCGUAUAUCUUCAAUGUACUUUGCAGCUUUUCUGAUGCAAUUUUCAAUCUCUUGUUCUCUAUGCCCUGGGUAUAGUUUCUUGAAAAGAACUAGUGCCUGGAUUGAAGAUGAAGUGCACUCUACAUACCUGGAGUUUUACGUUUGUUUUUUUUCUCUCCUUUCAUUAAUAUAUAAUUUUAUAAAUUGGUUUCUUUUACAUUAGAUAAUUAAUGAAAUUUAUUAACGGAAAAGGUGAGCUUCUUACUCAUAUUCUUUAACUAGAUCCUCUAGAAACUCGACUGGAUUUAGCCACUAAAAAGAUAAUUGAAGGUGAAAAGUUAUUGAUAGCAAAUGUAAUGACAUAUAUAUAAAGACUAAUCCAAAAAUUGAAAUAGUUAUUACCUCCCACCAGAAUCCACCUCCUGCUGGCUCCCAAGCUGAGAAACCACCAUUUUUGCUCUG
rnacentral:lncRNA from 1 species